CACGGGCCCGACUAAUACCCGCCAGAGGCCUCCUGGAGUAAAUAUUAACACGCCUGGGUCUGGUCUCCAGGGAUUCCGGCCCGGAGCGGGGCCCCUCGCUCAGGCUACCAUUCGGACUCUGUUUAGCUGCUGCCUGUAAUGCCCAUCAUUUCGUAGACGUGUCUCCUUCCUGCCUGCCUACACCUGCUGCUACCUUAUUUGGAGUAUUGUUAACAGAAUAAUUUGGCAGUGGGGAUCUUUUAAGUAUGUGACUCUGAGAACAAAGUAAAAAUCAAACGCCUCUGCAAGCAACCCAAAGCACCAUCCUUCCCAGGAGGCGGGAGGAAGGGCAUGGCUGGCUAACUCCCCCUCCUCUGUACUUUCUAUGGUCGCUAUCAUUACACUGAGAAUCAGAACACGCAAAUGAGAGGAACCAAGAAGAAAGCAGAAAGGUGAGAAGAAGCAGACGGGCCUUCGGGAGUGACUGGAAGCCAAAGUCUUCGAGAGGCUCUUUCCUGAGCCCCGCUCCUGUGGGGACAGCUUUCGUCCUCCUGAGCCUUCUGAACAGAGCCUCCCCUGGCCAGAGCAGGGUGGGGGGCGCGGGGGACACCGGCUGAUGAAGGUGCGUGUAAGCUGGCUGGAGACUCACGGUCGCUUGUUUGCCAGAAGAUGUGAUGGAUCCAUCAGGACAUCGGAAGACAGUCAUCUUGGUCUCGUAGCUGGUGAAGGAUAGGCAAUUCGAAAGUUCUUCAGGUGAGCUGAUAUUCU